rnacentral:lncRNA from 1 species
UUUCACCAACUGGCGCCGUCUGUGGGAAAAUCGAGCUAAGGCGUGAGAUUCAUUGUUUUUCCAGUCACUGUUCAUCACUGUCCGGCUACUGUUCAUCGGAUUCAGUUCAUUUUCUCCAGAUCUGUUCUUCUUAGUUUUCCGGCGACCCAUUCAGUUUAGAUCCGACUUCCACCAGCAAUCAUCUCUCCAUCUUCGAUCCAUGUUCAGAAAGAAAAAAUAAAAAUCUAUCCUCAAUUGAUCCAAAAGAAANAAAAAUAUCCAUCUCCUACCACUUUUAAGUCGAUCAGCUCCCCUCCAUAGCCAAGAACACUCCGGUAGCCACGGCCUUAAUCCGGCAGCCACUGUCUCAUCAUUUGCUAAUUCUUGUGAAUCAGGGCAAUCCCACCG